rnacentral:rRNA from 1 species
GUACACUCCUACGGGAGGCAGCAGUGGGGAAUAUUGCACAAUGGGCGCAAGCCUGAUGCAGCCAUGCCGCGUGUAUGAAGAAGGCCUUCGGGUUGUAAAGUACUUUCAGCGGGGAGGAAGGCAAUACGGUUAAUAACCGUGUUGAUUGACGUUACCCGCAGAAGAAGCACCGGCUAACUCCGUGCCAGCAGCCGCGGUAAUACGGAGGGUGCAAGCGUUAAUCGGAAUUACUGGGCGUAAAGCGCACGCAGGCGGUCUGUCAAGUCGGAUGUGAAAUCCCCGGGCUCAACCUGGGAACUGCAUUCGAAACUGGCAGGCUUGAGUCUUGUAGAGGGGGGUAGAAUUCCAGGUGUAGCGGUGAAAUGCGUAGAGAUCUGGAGGAAUACCGGUGGCGAAGGCGGCCCCCUGGACAAAGACUGACGCUCAGGUGCGAAAGCGUGGGGAGCAAACAGGAUUAGAUACCCCUGUAGUCCC